GAUGAACGCUGGCGGCGUGCUUAACACAUGCAAGUCGAACGAUGAUGCCCAGCUUGCUGGGUGGAUUAGUGGCGAGCGGGUGAGUAACACGUGAGUAACCUGCCCUUGACUCUGGGAUAAGCCUGGGAAACUGGGUCUAAUACCGGAUACGACCAUCUGGCGCAUGUCAUGGUGGUGGAAAGCUUUUGUGGUUUUGGAUGGACUCGCGGCCUAUCAGCUUGUUGGUGGGGUAAUGGCCUACCAAGGCGACGACGGGUAGCCGGCCUGAGAGGGUGACCGGCCACACUGGGACUGAGACACGGCCCAGACUCCUACGGGAGGCAGCAGUGGGGAAUAUUGCACAAUGGGCGCAAGCCUGAUGCAGCGACGCCGCGUGAGGGAUGACGGCCUUCGGGUUGUAAACCUCUUUCAGUAGGGAAGAAGCGAAAGUGACGGUACCUGCAGAAGAAGCGCCGGCUAACUACGUG
rnacentral:rRNA from 1 species